GAUGAACGCUGGCGGCGUGCCUAAUACAUGCAAGUCGAACGAAGAUCUAGCUUGCUAGAUCUUAGUGGCGAACGGGUGAGUAAUACAUAAAUAAUCUGCCCAUAUGACUGGGAUAACUAUUGGGAACGAUAGCUAAUACCGGAUAGGUUGAUCGGAGGCAUCUCUGAUGAAUUAAAGUAGGAUUUCUACACAAAUGGAUGAGUUUAUGGCGCAUUAGUUAGUUGGGGGGGUAACGGCCUACCAAGACGAUGAGGCGUAGCCGACCUGAGAGGGUGACCGGCCACACGGGGACUGAGACACGGCCCAGACUCCUACGGGAGGCAGCAGUAGGGAAUUUUCGGCAAUGGGCGCAAGCCUGACCGAGCAACGCCGCGUGGGUGAUUAAGGCCUUCGGGUUGUAAAGCUCUGUUGUAAGGGAAGAACAUUCAGGAUAGGAAAUGAUCUUGAACUGACGGUACCUUACCAGAAAGCCACGGCUAACUACGUGCCAGCCGCCGCCGUAA
rnacentral:rRNA from 1 species